rnacentral:lncRNA from 1 species
UGACCUCAUUUUCAUGGUUCAGUGGUCAAAGUUAAGUUUUGGAAUUUUUGUCUUUUUUUCUAUUACUAUAUGCAAUAGGUCAACUAUAUUUGGUCAGGUGUAUGGAUAUAUUUUAUGAUCUUUAUGUCAGUCGUGCAGGUUUUAUUUGACCUUGACCUCAUUUUCACGGUUCAUUGCUCAAUGUUAAGUUUUUGUGUUUUGAUUUUGUUUUUCUUAAACUAUAAGCAAUAGGUCAACUAUAUUUGUUGUAUGGAAGAAUUUUUAGCUGUACAUACCUGCCUGGCAUGGUUCAUCUGACCUGACCUUAUUUUCAUGGUUCAUUUAGUCAUUGUUUAGUUUUCUUGGUUAAUGUUAAGUUUGUGUGAAAAUUGUAAUAAAGCUUUAUGUUUAGGACUAUCAACAUAGUAUCAAGAAUUAGUAAAGAAGGUGAGACAUUUCAGCGUGUGCACUCUUGUUAUUUAAAGCAUCAGCCUAUAAAAUACCAAUAUUUUUAUAUAUGAGUGUUUGCAUCCUUUUGAAUUAUGAAAUUAUCCUUGUUAAGAACUUUGUUUUAUAGGUUAGAAAAGUUAAAGAAAUACAUGUAAUAAUUACAUUUUGUAGCUUAGAUAAAAUUGAAUGCCAUUUCUUAGUGUGGUAUUUCAAAAGUUUUAGGGAAAAAAAAGGAAUAUUAUAUAUUGUCAUUUAAAGUUUUCUCAAAUAUGUAUCUAGAUGCAAUAAAAUGAGUGUUAUUAUGUAGCAAGCUUGUAAUUGUAAAAUUGUUUGAAAAAUUAGUAUAUGAACUAUGUAACCCCUGUUUUUUUCAACACAUCAAUUACAUUUUGGUCUUGUGUCUAUUCAGAUGCCAAUAAAGUCUUGGCAAAUAAAGUUAUCCUGCAGUCGUCCAACUAUUGUGUAAAUGACAGAUUUUCAAAUGAAGACUUGUUUUGUCUAGCUUAAGAUGUGAGUGAACGGUAUUUUAACUUUAUUGUUCCUUUUGGGGUCCUCUCUGCAGAUUGUGUUGAACUAUGUUGAUUUCUAUAUAAAACCUUAGAAAACAGUUUCAAAUUUAAAACAGAACUAAUUGUCAAAGUUCCACAGUUUAAUUGCAGGAUAAAAACAAUAAAUGUAUAUUGUAAGAUGAUUACUACAUAACAGGAGAAAAGUUUUGAGUGCCAUUCUUUUGUCCUCCUUCUUAAUGUUUGUACAUUUAUACAAAUAAAUUUCAUUUUUACUGACAAUGUUAAUUUAUUUUGUACCAACAUUGUGUUAUGGAAUAAUGACAAUAUACUUAUUAUAUCAAAAGCUUUGUGAAUACCAGUGAAUUGUAAUUAUUUUUUUAUUUUGGGGGGAUAAAAAAGGGGUGCAUACUAUACAUGGCUGCAUACGGUAUCUCCAACUAACAAAUAUGAUUCCACUGUAAAUUAAAUUCCAAGUGAUUUAAAUAACUUCCAUUAUGGUCUCAUAAGAUUGUCACAUGUAAAGAAAAUGAGAAAAUAAAUUAAAACAAAUAUUUUAGUUAAUAAAAUUGUUUUUGUUUAAAAUGAACUCAUUUGUGUAUUUUAAAAGGUAGAAAUCAUCAGAAAUUUAUACUUUGACCGUUUAUAUAUUUAGAUAAGCAUUGCUUUGUAAUAACAUAUAAUUAUUGGACUUAAUUUGUGUACGGCUAUCUUUGACUUCUAAAUUAUAGCUUGGAAUCUAUUUUUUUCUUAAUUUAGCCAUGUGAAAUCAGAUAAUUCCAUUUCUAUCCCUAAGCCAUGUGAUGAUAAGCUAUUCAACAUUUGUUUACUCAUGGUCCUGUCAUUUGCAAAAGGUAAUAACCCUGAACAUAUCUAAGCCAUUCUGUAACCUUUUUAUUAGAUAUUUGUAAAGCGAAAUCAGGUAAUUACAGAUUUAAGGUUACCUAUUAAUUUGUAUUGACUUUUCAAACCCCGUCUUUGUGAAAUAUUGAAAUAAUAAAGUUCAGUUUGUUAAUAAUUUUAUAAUUUUGAUAUUCCACUCUCUGUAUAGAAUACAAUAUUAUAUGAAUUAUAUCUCACUACAAAUGACUAAUGUAAAUAUGGUUUUGCUGAUAAUUU